rnacentral:rRNA from 1 species
AGCGAACGCUGGCGGCAGGCCUAACACAUGCAAGUCGAACGAGCUCUUCGGAGUUAGUGGCGGACGGGUGAGUAACACGUGGGAACGUGCCUUUAGGUUCGGAAUAACUCAGGGAAACUUGUGCUAAUACCGAAUGUGCCCUUCGGGGGCAAGAUUUAUCGCCUUUAGAGCGGCCCGCGUCUGAUUAGCUAGUUGGUGAGGUAAAGGCUCACCAAGGCGACGAUCAGUAGCUGGUCUGAGAGGAUGAUCAGCCACAUUGGGACUGAGACACGGCCCAAACUCCUACGGGAGGCAGCAGUGGGGAAUCUUGCGCAAUGGGCGAAAGCCUGACGCAGCCAUGCCGCGUGAAUGAUGAAGGUCUUAGGAUUGUAAAAUUCUUUCACCGGGGACGAUAAUGACGGUACCCGGAGAAGAAGCCCCGGCUAACUUCGUG